rnacentral:rRNA from 1 species
CGGUUUGUUAAGAUGGGUGUGAAAGCUCCUGGCUCAACUGGGAGAGGUCGCCCAUGACUGGCAGACUAGAGAGCAGUAGGGGAAGGUGGAAUUCCGGGUGUAGUGGUGAAAUGCGUAGAUAUCCGGAGGAACACCAGUGGCGAAGGCGGCCUUCUAGGCUGUAUCUGACGCUCAGACACGAAAGCUAGGGUAGCAAACGGGAUUAGAGACCCCGGUAGUCCUAGCCGUAAACGAUGUGAACUUGGCGCUGGGAGGGUAAAACCUAUCAGUGCCGAAGCAAACGCGAUAAGUUCACCACCUGGGGACUACGGCCGCAAGGUUAAAACUCAAAGGAAUUGACGGGGCCCCGCACAAGCAGCGGAGCGUGUGGUUUAAUUCGAUGCUACACGAAGAACCUUACCAGGGUUUGACAUGCAAGUGGUAGGAAGCCGAAAGGUGACCGACUCUUCGGAGAGCUUGCACAGGUGCUGCAUGGCUGUCGUCAGCUCGUGUCGUGAGAUGUUCGGUUAAGUCCGCUAACGAGCGCAACCCUCGCUGUGUGUUACAAGUGUCACACGGUACUGCCGGUCUUAAGCCGGAGGAAGGUGGGGAUGACGUCAAGUCAGCAUGGCCUUUAUAUCCUGGGCUACACACACGCUACAAUGGCCAACACAAUAGGUUGUUAAACCGCGAGGUGGAGCCAAUCCAAAAAAGUUGGUCUCAGUUCAGAUUGUAGGCUGCAACUCGCCUGCAUGAAGAUGGAGUUGCU